rnacentral:rRNA from 1 species
UUCGGGUGAGUGUACCUUUCGAAUAAGCGCCGGCUAACUACGUGCCAGCAGCCGCGGUAAUACGUAGGGCGCAAGCGUUAUCCGGAAUUAUUGGGCGUAAAGAGCUUGUAGGCGGUUCGUCGCGUCUGGUGUGAAAGCCCAUCGCUUAACGGUGGGUUUGCGCCGGGUACGGGCGGGCUAGAGUGCAGUAGGGGAGACUGGAAUUCCCGGUGUAACGGUGGAAUGUGUAGAUAUCGGGAAGAACACCAAUGGCGAAGGCAGGUCUCUGGGCUGUUACUGACGCUGAGAAGCGAAAGCGUGGGGAGCGAACAGGAUUAGAUACCCUGGUAGUCCACGCCGUAAACGGUGGACGCUGGAUGUGGGGCCCAUUCCACGGGUUCUGUGUCGGAGCUAACGCGUUAAGCGUCCCGCCUGGGGAGUACGGCCGCAAGGCUAAAACUCAAAGAAAUUGACGGGGGCCCGCACAAGCGGCGGAGCAUGCGGAUUAAUUCGAUGCAACGCGAAGAACCUUACCUGGGCUUGACAUGUGCCUGUCGACUGCAGAGAUGUGGUUUCCCUUCGGGGCAGGUUCACAGGUGGUGCAUGGUCGUCGUCAGCUCGUGUCGUGAGAUGUUGGGUUAAGUCCCGCAACGAGCGCAACCCUCGCCCUGUGUUGCCAGCGGGUUAUGCCGGGAACUCACGGGGGACCGCCGGGGUUAACUCGGAGGAAGGUGGGGAUGACGUCAGAUCAUCAUGCCCCUUACGUCCAGGGCUUCACGCAUGCUACAAUGGCCGGUACAACGGGAUGCGACAUGGUGACAUGGAGCGGAUCCCUUAAAACCGGUCUCAGUUCGGAUCGUAGUCUGCAACUCGACUACGUGAAGGCGGAGUCGCUAGUAAUCGCGAAUCAGCAACGUCGCGGUGAAUGCGUUCCCGGGCCUUGUACACACCGCCCGUCAAGUCAUGAAAGUGGGCAGCACCCGAAGCCGGUGGCCUAACCCUUUUGGGAUGGAGCCGUCUAAGGUGAGGCUCGUGAUUGGGACUAAGUCGUAACAAGGUAGCCGUACCGGAAGGUGCGGCUG